GAUGAACGCUGGCGGCAUGCCUAACACAUGCAAGUCGAACGGUAAGGCGCCGCUUUUUGCCGGUGCUCGGGGGGCGAACGGGUGAUACACACGUGCGUAACCUGCCCUUGACGUUGGGAUAACUUCAGGUUACUUGGGCUAGUACCAGAUAGACGGUCCUGCUCCAUGGUGGGGGUUGCAUAGUUGCGGGGGGUGGGGAUGUACUCGCGGCUGAUGAGCUUGGUAGUGGAGCAGUGGCUUACCAAGGGUUUGACGGGUAGCCGGCGUGAGAGGGGGACCGGGGUCCAUACGACUGAGAUACGGACCAGAGGGGUACGGGAGGCAGCAGUGGGGAAUCUUGCACAAUGAGCGCAAGCCUGGUGCAGCAACGCCGCGUUCGGGAUGACGGUCUGCGGGUUGUAAAAAGCUUUCGGCUGUGACGGAGCGUGCAUGACGGUAACGGAUGAAGAAGCACCGGCUAACUACGUG
rnacentral:rRNA from 1 species